CGUGGGCAACCGACCCGUGAGUGGGGAAUACCCGCCGAAAGGCGAGUUAAUACCGCAUACGGUCCCUCACUGAUGAGUGAGGGAAGAAAGCAUCGCAAGGUGCGCUGACGGGAGGGCCUGCGUCGGAUUAGGUAGUUGGUGGGGUAACGGCCUACCAAGCCGAUGAUCCGUCGCUGAUCUGAGAGGAUGAUCAGCCAGACUGGGACUGCGACACGGCCCAG
rnacentral:rRNA from 1 species